GAUGAACGCUGGCGGCGUGCUUAACACAUGCAAGUCGAACGGGAAAUAUUUCAUUGAGACUUCGGUGGAUUUGAUCUAUUUCUAGUGGCGGACGGGCGAGUAACGCGUGGGUAACCUGCCUUAUACAGGGGGAUAACAGUCAGAAAUGGCUGCUAAUACCGCAUAAGCGCACAGAGCUGCAUGGCUCAGUGUGAAAAACUCCGGUGGUAUAAGAUGGACCCGCGUUGGAUUAGCUAGUUGGUGGGGUAACGGCCCACCAAGGCGACGAUCCAUAGCCGGCCUGAGAGGGUGAACGGCCACAUUGGGACUGAGACACGGCCCAGACUCCUACGGGAGGCAGCAGUGGGGAAUAUUGCACAAUGGGGGAAACCCUGAUGCAGCGACGCCGCGUGAAGGAAGAAGUAUCUCGGUAUGUAAACUUCUAUCAGCAGGGAAGAUAGUGACGG
rnacentral:rRNA from 1 species